CCUAUCGCAUCACAGUAGGAAAGCCACAAGGAACCCCCCCAGGACAGCUCUUCCACCUCAGAGGAGUCAGUCCCAACCACACCACUAGGUUAAAAGCAAUGCAGCAGUACAUACAGCAUCUCUUCAUGACCCUGCAUACCAAAUCUUCCUGGUAAGAGCAAUAUGGAUGCUAGAGUUGGAGGUGAAAUGCACUUGCAGGACAGCCAUCCAGCUGCAUACCCUCAGGCUUCUCAGACUGUUAAGGACUCACGUGCUUCACAAUUUCUGUUGUUUUAUUAAACUGCUUUGGCCAACCUUCA